UGACUACUAUUGCUAAGAAAGCUUAACCUUC
rnacentral:piRNA from 1 species